rnacentral:rRNA from 1 species
GACGAACGCUGGCGGCGUGCUUAACACAUGCAAGUCGAACGGAAAGGCCUGCUUUCCCUUGUGGAUUGCGGGUACUCGAGUGGCGAACGGGUGAGUAACACGUGAGUGAUCUGCCCCCAACUUGGGUAUAAGCCUGGGAAACUGGGUCUAAUUCCCGAUAGGACUGCAGGGUGGUGCCUGUGGUGGAAAACGAUUUUCUAGUGGUUGGGGAUGAGCUCGCGGCCUAUCAGCUUGUUGGUGGGGUAAUGGCCUACCAAGGCGGCGACGGGUAGCCGGCCUGGGAGGGUGGACGGCCACAUUGGGACUGAGAGACGGGCCAGACUCCUACGGGAGGCAGCAGUGGGGAAUAUUGCACAAUGGGCGGAAGCCUGAUGCAGCGACGCCGCGUGGGGGAUGACGGCCUUCGGGUUGUAAACUCCUUUCGACCGCGAGGAAGCCACCUGGUUGGAAGGGUGGUGACGGUAGUGGUAGAAGAAGCACCGGCUAACUACGU